CAGCAGCCGCGGUAAUACGUAGGUGGCAAGCGUUGUCCGGAAUUAUUGGGCGUAAAGCGCGCGCAGGCGGUUUCUUAAGUCUGAUGUGAAAGCCCCCGGCUCAACCGGGGAGGGUCAUUGGAAACUGGGGAACUUGAGUGCAGAAGAGGAGAGUGGAAUUCCACGUGUAGCGGUGAAAUGCGUAGAGAUGUGGAGGAACACCAGUGGCGAAGGUCGACUCUCUGGUCUGUAACUGACGCUGAGGCGCGAAAGCGUGGGGAGCGAACAGGAUUAGAUACCCUGGUAGUCCACGCCCGUAAACGAUGAGUGGUAAGUGUUAGAGGGUUUCCGCCCUUUAGUGCUGCAGCAAACGCAUUAAGCACUCCGCCUGGGGAGUACGGUCGCAAGACUGAAACUCAAAGGAAUUGAGGGG
rnacentral:rRNA from 1 species